GGGGGUAUAGCUCAGCAGUUGAGCACUUGCCUGGCAUGCAUGAGACCCUGGGUUCAAUCCCCAGUGCUCAGG
rnacentral:tRNA from 1 species